UUUUCCUACGGGAGGCAGCAGUGAGGAAUAUUGGUCAAUGGACGAGAGUCUGAACCAGCCAAGUAGCGUGAAGGAUGACUGCCCUAUGGGUUGUAAACUUCUUUUAUAUGGGAAUAAAACAGGGUAUGCAUACCCUCUUGUAUGUACCAUAUGAAUAAGGAUCGGCUAACUCCGUGCCAGCAGCCGCGGUAAUACGGAGGAUGCGAGCGUUAUCCGGAUUUAUUGGGUUUAAAGGGUGCGCAGGCGGCCUGUUAAGUCAGCGGUAAAAGCCCGGGGCUCAACCCCGGCGAGCCGUUGAAACUGGC
rnacentral:rRNA from 1 species